rnacentral:rRNA from 1 species
UGGUGGAGCGAUUUGCCUGGUUAAUUCCGUUAACGAACGAGAACCCUUCUUCUUAAUAGGACAGACAUUCUCAGCCGUGCCGUCGGGCUUCGCCUGGCUGGCACUUGUCUCCAGUGGCACGCCGGUCUGCGUGCGCCGCCUUCGUGUGGACGCCGCAGCUGGAUCAACGUGCCCGGGGACACGGAACGUCAUUGCGCUUCUUAGAAGGACGGUGCUGCGUAUAGACCAG